rnacentral:lncRNA from 10 species
CGAUCACCAAAGCCCUGCUAUCUGGAAGUUCCAAUAAACAGCAUCAACUUGUACCUCAAGCUAGAACAAAAUGAGGAAGCAAAACUUCUGAAACAAUGGCGUAACUAUGAAGACAAAGCUUGCAAAGACUUCGUGGUUUCAAGGCUUAGUAAUGAAUGCUUACAUGAAAGAAGUGUGUAUCCAGAGCUAUGUUGUAAUCCCAACUCAUCAUCAUUCAAAACAUCCUAAACAUCACUUAUCUUGAAGUUUUAAUAAUAAGAAAAUGUAAGUUUUACCUUUUAACCAACAAAUUUUACAUAGACUUAUAGGGCAUCGUGUAAAUAAAAGUCUGGCAACGAAGGUACUCACA